GUGUCUGUCUGAGUCUGUGUGUGUGUGGUAUUUAUCUAUGUGUGCAUACAUGUGUUUAUGUGUACACAACCCCAUUUUCUAAAGGGAAAGCACAUGUCAGCACACAGAUGGACCCUUCUCUUACUCAUAGCACAAGCCCAAAGGAUUUUCCUGGUCCACACUAAGGAACUUCUCCAUUAUUUAAAUAUAUUCUUCAAAUGCUUGUUGCUUUUACCUCUCCCCAGGAUUAAUUAUCCAGCAUCCUCUAUAAGACAGAGUAUCUUAAUAAUACAAAGUGCCUGAGAAGGAAAGAAAAAUAAAUAAAUAAAAAACCCUGCCAGUUCUUCUUCCCCAAAUUGCAAGCUACAACAGUCUAUUUCUUGUGUAACAGCUCCCCCUGACUUCUCCAUCCCUCAGCUUCAGAGGCAAGGAAUUCUACCAGGGACAGGGACUCUGGUCUUUUCAAAACAGCACUGCUGUUAUGAACCAACACAGAGCACAGGUGGGUGGUAAAAGCCCAAGAGCCCACCACCAAGAGUAUGUAGACAUCCAGAUGUGGGUAGGAGCCCAUAGUCGCGAGAAGAGCCCUUGAUCCAGGCAACGAAGGCCAGGUCUGGUCAGAGCUAAAGAGACAACAGAUUCCCUGGUGGGCAAAGGAGGGGACCCAGUGUCCUCUUUACUCAGAAGCUCCAAGCUCUUCAAUACUGCUAAGUGCCCAAAACCAGAACCCACUGCCCAACCCAGGGGACAUGAGCUGUACCCAAGACCCUAAGCACACUGUGUAAGUCUUCACACUUGCUGAAGGUCUGAGCCCAUAUCCCCGAAACAGAAAAGGAAGCCUCCACGUAGGCCCAGUACAGCCAAGGCAAUGAAAUGGUAUCCCAUUGCCCAUGUGUUUAGAGUCACAGUCAUAGCUCCAGACCCCUACCAACCUGCUUCAAGACCUAAGCCAUAACCUCCCUUCCCUGCCCUCAGGGACACAUGUCCCUGGCCUAGGGCAAGAGGUUGAUACAGCUGUUGUUGGCCUACCAUAGAACAGAUCAUAAAGAACCAGAGAGCCUGGAGUUUCCAGAAGAUUCCAGAAGGUAAGAUCUGUAUUCCACUGACCUAUAAUCUGGGGUGUUCCAGGCCAGCACAGAAUAUACUGUUGACCCAAAUACUAGUGACCCAAAAUAAAGUGAAGCAGGAGCUAUAGAAGAUGCAGGCCCCUCCUAGAGCAUACAUGACCAUACAGGGACAUAGGCUCAGCUAGCUCCGGUAGGCGUGGAGAAGGCAGAACACUGUGGCAAGGCAGACCAGAAGGGACACAUGCCACCCCAGGAUCCCCAACAUAAGGCCUAAGAAUACUUAGUCCCUUGGGCAGGCGGCCAGGGGUCUGUGCCAAAAAGUCUAUCUACCCUCAAGCAAGAGCUGGGCCAGCUCUGAAGAAGGUCAGGAGAUCACAGUGGUCAGUAAACAGCAACCUACCCAACACCAGGCAGAGACGAGGAAGUCUAGGGCUCAGAGAGGUGACAUGAUGAACCAAAGACCACACAGCUGGAAACCGCUGGAUCGUGACUAAAGGAUUGUUCCCUGGGAGGUGAGAAACCUACCCUUACCUCAGAGCAGAGCUUCUCAACCUUCCCGAUACUGCGAUCUUUCAAUACAGUCCCUCAUGUUAUGGUGACCCCCCCACCAAAUUAUUUCAUUGUUACUUCAUAACUGUAAUCUUGGUAGUUACGAAUCAUAAUGUGAACAUCUGAUAUGAGACCUCCGGCACAACCCACAAGUUGAGGACCCCCAGUCCAGAGCAAUGCGUCUGCUUUUAGAUGGUACCCGUGGGUCGGCUGGACCUCCCCUCUGCAUUCUGUCCAGAAGAAAGAGCAUCGCUGUUGAUGACAAGUCUCAGGACUCUCCUUCCUUGAACUCUAUGCCCUGGCGUCUCCUCCACAGUGCUCUGUGGGGUGGAAGAGGCCUCUGUCCCCAUGACAGAGGCUCUGGCUCUCAGCUGACCCCCUGACAUCCAUGCUGCCCAGCACAGCAUGUUGCUCCCUGUGCCAGGACCUACACACAGACAAAGGUCCCCAGUGGAUACCAGGGAGAAGGGACAGCUUCAACCACACAUUCCAGAGACCCUUGCUAGGCCUUACACGAGAUCCUUUCCUCAAACUGAGAAGACACCCGACAUUGAUUAGAGGAGUUUAUCUUGGCUCACGGUCAAAGGCAAUCAGUCCACCAUGGUAGAAAAGCAUGGAGAUGUCUCACUCAGUCGGGAAGCAGAGAGGAAUGUGGCUCUCCGCCCCUGUCUCCUGUUUCAUUCACUCCAAAGUCCCAGCCCACAGAACGGUGUUCCCAAAUUCUAGGUAGGUCUUCCCUCCUAACUGAACCCUCUCUGAAAACACUCUUAGGCACACCCAAAUGUGUGUCUCCUUGGCGACAGCAAGCAUGGUCUGGAUGACCAGUGCAAACCAUCCCACCUUGUGAUCCCUUUCAUCAAGGAGGAAACUCGGGGGGACGUUUUAUUGUUAUUUUUCCCUCUGUGGUGAACUCAUCCAGAAAGGAGGUUCAGGGUCUCUGCUGACCACCUGCUGGAGUUUCCGUCAGAGAAAGCUAUGGGUGGUGAUUCAGAGAUCUUCCCAAAGCAUACCUCAAGAUAGAGAAGAGAACAAACCCAGGCCCACACCAGAAGACAGCAAUAUUAACAGCUCCAUCCUAGGAGGGAGCCUAAGGGGGCACCAGGGGAAGACCAGGGGCUCACUAGUCAGAAGGGUAAAGGUCACUUAGCUCAAGAGGCCUGAGGAGAAGGGAGAGGUUGCCUCUUAGCUACUGGAACCCAAGUCUAUCAGCACUUCCGGGCGAAGGGUGACUGAGCCUACUGACAUGGUAUAUAACCAGGUUGAAGGUAACCAUAGGUCUAGAGCUUAUCUAGAGACAAGCCUGAGUCUCUCCAUGUUGGCCCUGGGCUCUGUUAGGGAAGAAGACAGCCUAGAGCCUCUAAUGCACCACCAAGCCAGCCCCUCCCACCCAAGCGCUCUGGGGAAAGGACAGCUGCUAAGAAGCCAUUUCCACGCAGGGCCAGCUCCCAAUCACCUCCACCCUCGCUGGCCAAUGUCCGCCCGGCUCUGACAGGAUAAAUAGCAGCUUCUUCAAGCCUCUACGAUGCCAGGGAAGGCAUGAGGCUGAGUUUAGCCAUGUGUUAUCUCAUGAACCCCCUCCCAGGCCCUGUUCUUGUAUCUGCAGCCUUAGAGGGCACAGGCUCAGCCCCGAUAGAGAAGCGUCUA
rnacentral:sRNA from 1 species